CUUAAACUGCAAGUCGAACGGUGAAGCAGAGCUUGCUCUGUGGACAGUGGCGAACGGGGAGUAACACGGGCAAUCUGCCCUGACUCUGGGAUAAGCGCUGUGAACGGCGUCUAAUACCGGAUACGAGCUGCGACCGCAUGGUCAGUAGCUGGAAAGAAUUUCGGUCAGGGAUGAGCUCGCGGCCUAUCAGCUUGUUGGUGAGGUAAUGGCUCACCAAGGCGUCGACGGGUAGCCGGCCUGAGAGGGUGACCGGCCACACUGGGACUGAGACACGGCCCAGACUCCUACGGGAGGCAGCAGUGGGGAAUAUUGCACAAUGGGCGCAAGCCUGAUGCAGCAACGCCGCGUGAGGGACGCGGCCUUCGGGUUGUAAACCUCUUUUAGCAGGGAAGAAGCGAAAGUGACGGUACCUGCAGAAAUUAAAAGCGCCGGCUAACUACGUGCCAGCAGCCGCGGUAAUACGUAGGGCGCAAGCGUUAUCCCGGAAUUAUUGGGCGUAAAGAGCUCGUAGGCGGUCUGUCUGUCGCGUCUGCUGUGAAAACCCAGGCUCAACCUCGGGCCUGCAGGUGUGGGGUUACGGGGCAGACUAGAGUGCGGUAGGGGAGAUUGGAAUUCCUGGUGUAGCGGUGGAUGCGCAAUAUCAGGAGGAACACCGAUGGCGAAGGCAGAUCUCUGGGCCGUAACUGACGCUGAGGAGCGAAAGGGUGGGGAGCAAACAGGCUUAGAUACCCUG
rnacentral:rRNA from 1 species